CAGCCUGCCUGACUCUCAAAUCUGUCAUCCGUGAAGUGGUGCUGCGCACACUCGCUAUGUGUUGGAUGUGGUUUGCAAAGGUUCAUGGGCAGAGAAGGAGUCUUCAGUGUGAAUUCUUUCCUCUUCUCUUUGGUCCUUCUGAUCAAGUUCUCUCAAGGAAGAGCAUUGGAGUGGCAGGUGAAGUUUUGAGUUUCUGACAGCUGCUGCUGCUGUGACGGAUUGGGUUCAGCAGUUCUACGGGAGGAAGUGACCUUGAAGCAUCCUUAGAAGCAGUAGUUCAACACCGACAGCAGAGGAGAGAGUUCAUUAAUCUAAAGAUGUUUCCAGCCACUGGCAACAGGUGCACAGGUGUUGAGGUUACAUAGCACCUUGGCAGUGACUGCCUG